CAGGGGAUCGCUAGAGCCCCCAGGAGAGAACGGCCGCGGAGCAAGGGGGAGGCAGAAGAGCGGGUGGGGUAACCCCCUGGAUCCGCAGAAGCGGGGAGACACACGACUACGCAGGCCGCUGAGGGGUAACUGGAAUUCAGCUUGUAAACCAGAAGGCACCAGAUUAGGAGAAGGGGCGACUUGGAAAGAAAUGCUGCAGAAGUAAACGUGGAAAGGGAGAGGCGGCCCUGCCGCCGGCCCGUCCUAGGGGUCCCCAAGGCUCCGGCAUUACCCGGGUCGGCGGAUGUUAAACUCUGCGUCCUAAGAGCGCUUCCCUUCCCUCCCUUUUUCGAGAGACAGAGAACGAAUCU
ensembl:lncRNA HCFC1-AS1 HCFC1 antisense RNA 1